AUACGGAGGAUGCAAGCGUUAUCCGGAUUUAUUGGGUUUAAAGGGUGCAUAGGCUGUUCGGAAAGUCAGGGGUGAAAGCCCGGCGCCUAACGCCGGAACUGCCUUUGAUACUUCCGAGCUGGAAUACGGAUGCCGUGGGAGGAAUGAGUAGUGUAGCGGUGAAAUGCAUAGAUAUUACUCAGAACACCGAUUGCGAAGGCAUCUCACGAAUCCGUCAUUGACGCUGAGGCACGAAAGCGUGGGGAUCAAACAGGAUUAGAUACCCUGGUAGUCCACGCAGUAAACGAUGAUGACUAACCGUCGGCGAUACACAGUCGGUGGCCAAGCGAAAGCGAUAAGUCAUCCACCUGGGGAGUACGUACGCAAGUAUGAAACUCAAAUGAAUUGGCGGGG
rnacentral:rRNA from 1 species